CCAACAUUGACUUUGAAGUUCUCUGUAUAAACUCUUUAACUUAGUUUUCUCAGAUCCAUUUUCUGGCAUUAUCAUUAUCAUUCUGUGUGUGCAUUUGUAGAGAGAGUUGUUAAUCAUGGCUGCUUAUGGAGCUCUGGUUUCUCUGAUGCAUAUCAUCGAAACCCUCGAGAAACAUCCUUCCCCUCCCAUUUCUAUCGACGAAAAACAAGUUCAAUCCCUCACUCAAAACAUUACCUUCUUGCAGGAUUUUCUUGAUUGCUAUAUUUCCCCUUUUGCUGAGAGCCACGAAGCUGAUCCAUUGGAGCGUCGCAUUGCUGAUGCAGUUUACGCGGCUGAGGAUGUUAUCGAAUCCCAUAUUGUGGAUCAAAUUCACAGUGGAUCCACAAUCGUUGCAGAUCAUGACUUCUAUCACAAUCUACAGAAAGUGAUAGAAGAAAUGGAUCUGAUCACCAAACAGGUGAAGAGCAUUCCAGUUGAAGCUCAGACCAAGCAGAAACCUGUUGCUGCCUUGGCGGCGUCUUCUCCUACUGUGAAAGAAAGCGUGAUCGUGGGCUCUGACGAAGUGUUUCAUGAUGUGUUGGAUAAGCUCACCAGUCAUCAACUCAACCGCCAGAUCAUCCCCAUCACCGGGAUGGGUGGCAUUGGUAAGACCACUCUUGCCAUGAAUCUAUUUGAGAAUGCACUUGUUAAGGAGCAUUUUGAUAUUCGUGCUUGGACUACAAUUUCUCAAACUUAUAAUGUUAGAGAAACACUUAGAGAAGUUCUUUUUCGAGCAAGUGGAGGAGAUUCGAGUAGUGAUCUGAGUGAGAAUGAGUUGGGACAAAAUUUAUACCAGUUUUUGUUCGGUAGGAGAUAUCUCGUAAUAAUGGAUGAUAUGUGGAGCAUAGAGGCGUGGGAUAAGAUAAAAUUUUUCUUUCCUGAUAACCAAAAUGGGAGUCGAAUAAUCGUAACAACUAGGUUGUCUGACUUGAGUUCUCAGUUGAACGAGUCUUGUAUAGUGGGCAUGAAAUUUCUAGAUAAGGCUAGUAGUUGGGAUUUAUUUUGUAAGACAGUGUUCGGGAAAGAAAGUUGUCCAAUUGAGUUGGAGAAUAUUGGACAGAAUAUUGUAGCAAAUUGUAAAGGACUUCCUUUAUCAAUUGCUACAAUAGGAGGUCUUUUGGCAAAAUCUGAGCGCACAAAAGAAUGUUGGGAGCGUAUAGAGAAAAAUUUAAAUUCAAUUGUUAUUAACAGUAACGAUGAAUUUUGCUUGAAAAUAUUGAGGAUGAGUUAUAUCCUUCUGCCGAACUAUUUAAAGCCAUGUUUUUUGUAUAUGGUUGUUUUUAAGGAAGACUACCGUAUCCGUGUGUCAAUGCUUGCGAAGUUAUGGGUUUCUGAAGGAUUUAUAAAACCAAGGAGUGGAAAAUGUUUGGAAACACUUGCGCGAGAGUAUUUUAUGGAAUUGGUUGAUCGAAAUCUCGUUUUAGUUGAUCAAUUGGGGUGUACUGGAAACGUUAAGUAUUGUAAAAUUCAUGAUUUGUUGAGAGAUUUGUGUUUAAAAGAAGCUGAAAUGGAAAGAUUUUACCAUGUCAUAGGAGAUGAUCCUCCGGCCAGUAUUAGCGAACGUCGAGUCGUUCUUAAAACUGUAGGGUUGCUAGGAUCUUUGUCACAUACUCGUUCCAUAAUAUGUGAGUAUAACAAAGCAGCAUAUGAGGAUGAGAAAGUUCUGCCGUCUCGCGAUCUUAGAUUGUUGAGGACAUUCAGAGCAUGUCAUUAUGAUAGUUAUUUCCUAGAAAAUGUGAUUGAAUUGGUGAACUCACGGUACCUUGAUAUCAAAGUUCAUGCUGAGUCCAGAUUCUCUAGUUCAAUUGAUCUCCUUUGGAAUCUACAGACAUUGAUUAUUCAUUGUUGGACCGAUAUUCGUGUACCAAAUGAAAUUUGGAAACUGCAUCAACUUUGGCAUCUUGAAUUUCCGGCGUAUGAAUUGAUUCUCCCAAAUCCUCCUAGUGAGGAUAGUGACAUUGUGAUUAUGGAGAAUCUGCAGACACUCAAAGGAGUUAAGGAUUUGUUAUUGAAUGAGGAGGUGAUUAAAAGAAUUCCCAAUGUGAAGAAAUUGCAUUUAACAUACCAUUCGGAUCAAAUGGAGGGAGAAAGCUGCCUAAGCUAUCUUCAGUGCUUCAGUAAAUUGGAAAGCUUACGCUGCACCACCUUUGGUCGAUGUGGUGACUUUUGGAUGAGGAUUAAUUUUCCCAAUUCUAUCAAGAAGUUGGUUGUUGAAGACUUUUCUGUCACGCAUGGCAUAGAGUCGGAAGACAUAUUGCCUAAAAUCGGUUCGUUACCUCUUCUUGAAAAGCUCGUAUUAAGAUAUGGUGUCUUCCAAACAGGCAAGUGGGAAACAAUUGAAGGCCAGUUCAGGAACCUCAAAUUUCUACGGUGUUGGUAUUGGAAAGGUAUAGUAAACUGGAUUGUCUCAGACAGCUCCCACUUUCCACUUCUCGAGAAGCUUUGUCUCUAUGGUUUAUCCGAACUCGAGGAAAUCCCAUCUGAAGUUGGAGAAAUAGCAACGCUGAAAUCGAUUUCAUUGUAUAAAUGCAGUGAAGCAGCUGUGGCGUCAGCGAAAAAGAUAGUAGAAGAACGUGAGGAUCUAUAUGGAGAGCAAUUAGACCUUCAUGUGAGUAACUAGAAGAUGCCGAAAACCGUCAAGGCCGAGCUAGCUCAGAAAUUAUUAGAGUUGUAAUUUUUAAGAGCAAGCAUUGUGUUUCUUACUUAUGCUCUACUGUAAGAUCAUGAAUUGUGAUUCCAUGUAAUUUGUUUCCAAUCUUUUUUCAUUUCAUAAAUAUUGGAUUUGCAUAUGAGCUCUUAUUUCUGUCAGUGUUGUUGCUUGCUCUCACUGUGGUCUAGUCAAAAAAGGGCUUGCUUACUUCGACUCGAUGGAGAAGAUACACCUCAAGCCUCUGCGGUUUAUCUCCCAAUAUGUUGCACAAUCGGCACUUUUGCGCUAGCGUGAGUCCCUCCACAUCACCAAGCUUAUCGAACACCGCUUGACGUGCCUGACCAAGAUCAAACUCGUAUCCGAUUCUUGACGAAAUGACUUCCAACCUUGAGUUCGUCUCAACAUAUUUAGCAGGCACAGUAUUCAUGUUGAUAUUCCCAGAGCUAACUUGGUCGGCAACCGCUUCUUCUUCCGGUUCUUCGACUUCUUCAGGUGUCGGGGCUGCGACAAACGGAGGCUACGAGUCGCUCUCAUCACAUUCACUCCAUCCACCACCAGAGUCCCGAAGACGCGCAGCUGCAAUGGAUAUAUUCUCUGCUCCGGCACCAGUCUUUUCUGAAAAUCAAUUUCCAAGUCUCCCAUAAAGGCCACGACUUAUAACACAUGUAUUUCGCUUUAGGGUCAACCUUAUAAAACAGCUUAAAGUUAUUUUAAGCAACUACACAACACAUGUACAGUACACACAGAGUUAGUGGACGUCGAAUCACUUCACAACA